GAUGAACGCUAGCUACAGGCUUAACACAUGCAAGUCGAGGGGAAACGACAUCGAAAGCUUGCUUUUGAUGGGCGUCGACCGGCGCACGGGUGAGUAACGCGUAUCCAACCUGCCCACCACUUGGGGAUAACCUUGCGAAAGUAAGACUAAUACCCAAUGACGUCUCUAGAAGACAUCUGAAAGAGAUUAAAGAUUUAUCGGUGAUGGAUGGGGAUGCGUCUGAUUAGCUUGUUGGCGGGGUAACGGCCCACCAAGGCGACGAUCAGUAGGGGGUCUGAGAGGAAGGUCCCCCACAGUGGAACUGAGGCCCGGUCCAAACUCCUACGGGAUGCAGCAGUGAGGAAUAUUGGUCAAUGGGCGAGAGCCUGAACCAGCCAAGUAGCGUGCAGGAUGACGGCCCUAUGGGUUGUAAACUGCUUUUAUAAGGGAAUAUAGUGAGUCUCGUGAGACUUUUUGCAUGUACCUUAUGAAUAAGGACCGGCUAAUUCCGUGCCAGCAGCCGCGGUAA
rnacentral:rRNA from 1 species